rnacentral:rRNA from 1 species
ACGUUAGCGGCGGACGGGUGAGUAACACGUGGGUAACCUACCUAUAAGACUGGGAUAACUUCGGGAAACCGGAGCUAAUACCGGAUAAUAUUUCGAACCGCAUGGUUCGAUAGUGAAAGGUGGUUUUGCUAUCACUUAUAGAUGGACCCGCGCCGUAUUAGCUAGUUGGUAAGGUAACGGCUUACCAAGCGACGAUACGUAGCCGACCUGAGAGGGUGAUCGGCCACACUGGAACUGAGACACGGUCCAGACUCCUACGGGAGGCAGCAGCA